rnacentral:rRNA from 1 species
ACCUACGGGAGGCAGCAGUAGGGAAUCUUCCACAAUGGACGAAAGUCUGAUGGAGCAACGCCGCGUGAGUGAAGAAGGGUUUCGGCUCGUAAAGCUCUGUUGGUAGUGAAGAAAGAUAGAGGUAGUAACUGGCCUUUAUUUGACGGUAAUUACUUAGAAAGUCACGGCUAACUACGUGCCAGCAGCCGCGGUAAUACGUAGGUGGCAAGCGUUGUCCGGAUUUAUUGGGCGUAAAGCGAGGGCAGGGGGGUCAAUAAGUC